UUCACAAAAGUUCACUUUCCAACCUUUUACUGUUUCAGUUGUUUUAAUUUCUAUAAAGCAUGUUCAGAUUUUGUGUUAUAUCAGUAUAAUGAGGAGCACGCUGCAUAAGAAGUUUGACAAAAAGAAAGGACAACAUUCAUUUCAUUAAGCUUGUUGAUUUAGCAAAAAGAAAAGCUGUCCUAAUAUCGCAUUCAGAUACAUUUUAAAUGUUAUAAUUUUUUUGCCCUCCUGCCCUCUUUUUCUAACAAAGCAGAUAAAGUGUGAGUGUAGUGACCCAUGUUGGGUUACUUCUUGCCAUGCAACUAGUUCCCAGUAAUCAUCUACUGGAUAAAGGAUUGAAGACUUUUUAGAAGACGAUGACAGUAGAGGAGGUAGUAUAGCAGUGGGGAAGCAUGGUAGCGUUGCUGCGUUUUAACAUGGGAUUCAAUCCCAGGGGUAGGCUACACAUUCUCUGCAAUCUUUCUCUGGAUAAGUUGACCUAGAAAAUAAAUGGAUUGAUGGUAUGGUAGUGCAGUUGUUGGUGAUGCUUCCUCACAGUUCCAGAAGCUUAAUUUACAAUCAUGGCCAUGUUGUUCAUAUGGGAUUUUUUCCAGAAUGGAAGACUUGCGGCCAUUCCAUCACUUUCCCAUUGUCCACCCUCCUGGACCCGCCCCUUCCUGCCUGGAAGCCAUGUGACCAGAAGUUCUAUUUUGAGCUCUUGUCUGAAGAGACACAUCCACAACUUUUUGCGUGUAUUUUGUUUUGAAAACUUUGCAAUUAUACAGGGUCAGCAGGGUGGUGCCCUAACUCUUUGACAUUGUUUUGUCUCCCCUUUACAGACCUUAUAUGUUGAAGGACGUAUCUACAAUGUCACACGUUAGACUUGCCAUCUGCAGUUGCUGAUCUUGACAUUUAACCAGACCAGCCACAGGAAAUUCCGCCUGGGCCAGAUGACAUCACUUAAGGCUACGGGGACAGAUGAUGUGACUUCCCCUGUCCAGCUUUAAAACUGCCAUGUUUUGCCUGUCACCUCAGUUCUGGCUUGGACUAAUGUUUGUAAAGACCAUUGCUCAAAUCUUUGCCUUUUUACAGCCAAUUUUCAAGUACACAGGGUGUCUGCCCCAAACCUUUUUGCAGUGUUGUUUGAAUCAUUUCACAACAUACACCUUUGGGAUGUGGAAUGUUACCCAAAUGCCUGGAGAAAACCUAAGCAGACAUGAAGAGAAAUAGACCGCAAGACACCUGAAUAGUGACAGGGCGAAGAAUGACGUCAGUUGGCAAGUGAUUCCACCAGCUGUCAACAUGUAGAUGUUGUUUUCAAAAAAAAUUACAGAUUAAUUUUCCUUUUCUUUAUUAAUGUACAUUUUUAUUUUUAUUAAUUUUCUUAUUUGUUCUAUUAAUUAUUUGUACUUUAUUUUGGGUUGUGGCUUGUCCAUUCCUACUUCACAAUUUUAGAGACCUUGCUUUUUUUCUGUUAAGAAGUACUUUCAGGACCUUUAUGUUACAAUAUGAGUCCUCAGAAUGGAGAUAAGAUUAUUUUCUAAUGAUGCAGUUUAUGAACUAAAAAAACUAUUGAUUUUUCAGUUGCAUUGACCAUAUAUUUUUGUGUUUGUACGUGUACUUCUGGACUUUCUUCAUUUCAUACAAAUUACUUGUAACUAUGCAGUAUGCCAGUUAAAUACGCAAUCCAGUUUGCAUUUUGAAAGUUAAUAUUUACCAUGGAGUAAGAUAAAGCCUGCUCUGUAAAGUCAA